rnacentral:tmRNA from 1 species
GGGGACGUUACGGAUUCGACAGGCAUAGUUUGAACAAUGAAGGCAAUUCGUAGGUUGCGUCUACGUUAAAACGCUACAGUUAAAUAUAACUGCAAACACAAACAAAACUUUUGCUUUCGCUGCUUAAUAACCAGCGUCGCAAGAUUAGCCUAGCUUCUCCCAUGAGUUAGUCGCUAGUCUUAGAUUAGUGGGAUACGUUGCAAACUUCCGUUUGUAGUGCGCAAAAGAGAUUAAUCAAACUAGCAAAAUGAACGCCUGUUUACUGGCUAGCAUUGAGCGAAAUUUAAAUGAGUAAACUAUAAUUGUAGAAUUUGUUGUGGCAAUAUGUUUGGACGCGGGUUCGACUCCCGCCGUCUCCAUAC